GCUCAUGCCGCAACUCGCCAAUCUGGCCGCCGAUAAAACUUGGUGGGCACCACAAGCUAGGGUGUUUAACGCGCUGCAUUAAGACAGAUUGUGAGGCUUGAAACUCAGGCAUUUAGAAGCUGUACACGCGUUGUAUUUCUCACUCAAGACAAACCGUCCAAAUCAUGGGAG